rnacentral:rRNA from 1 species
UACGUAGGGGGGCUAGCGUUGUCCGGAUUUAUUGGGCGUAAAAGCGCGUGUAGGCGGCCAGAUAGGUCUGCUGUGAAAACUCGAGGCUCAACCUCGAGCUGUCGGCGGAAACCAUUUGGCUAGAGUCCGGAAGAGGAGAGUGGAAUUCCCGGUGUAGCGGUGAAAUGCGCAGAUAUCGGGAGGAACACCAAUGGCGAAGGCAGCUCGCUGGGACGUUACUGACGCUGAGACGCGAAAGCGUGGGGAGCAAACGGG